GGAAUAUUGGACAAUGGGCGCAAGCCUGAUCCAGCCAUGCCGCGUGAGUGAAGAAGGCCUUAGGGUUGUAAAGCUCUUUCACCCGUGAAGAUGAUGACGGUAGCGGGAGAAGAAGCCCCGGCUAACUCCGUGCCAGCAGCCGCGGCAAUACGAAGGGGGCUAGCGUUGUUCGGAAUUACUGGGCGUAAAGCGCGCGUAGGCGGCUUUGCAAGCCAGGGGUGAAAUGCCUGAGCUCAACUUGGGAAUUGCCUUUGGGACUGUGAGGCUUUGAGGACUGGAGAGGUGAGUGGAAUUCCCAGUGUAGAGGUGAAAUUCGUAGAUAUUGGGAAGAACACCGGUGGCGAAGGCGGCUCACUGGCCAGUUUCUGACGCUGCAGCGCGAAAGCGUGGGGAUCAAAC
rnacentral:rRNA from 1 species